rnacentral:rRNA from 1 species
UACGGAGGUGGCGAGCGUUGCUCGGAUUUACUGGGCGUAAAGGGCACGUAGGCGGCCUUGUAAGCCCCAUCUUAAAUGCUCUGUCUCAAGCAGAGUAGGUGAUGGGGGACUGCAGGGCUAGAGGACUGGAGAGGCCAACGGAAUUCCCGGUGUAAGGGUGAAAUCUGUAGAGAUCGGGAGGAACACCAGUGGCGAAAGCGGUUGGCUGGACAGUUUCUGACGCUGAGGUGCGAAAGCUAGGGGAGCAAACAGG